GGGGGAUAAGGUAGACAAGUAGCCUGAGUAUCAUCCGUAUUCUACCGGGGCUCCUUACACUCGUUUUUUAGGGAAGUGAGUGUAAGGAGCCCCGGUAGAAAUAGGAUGGUACCCAGGCUAGGAGACAAGAAGAUGGGGACCUAAAUCAUUUUGAUUAGGAUUAGGGGCGUCUUCAGCUGCUGCUGCUUGGAGGGCAUCCUGCAGGUCACCCGGCAACGCUGGAGCAGGGGGGUUAGAAGAAGAGUCAUAAACCCAAAGGGCACGCCUGACGACUCGGUGGUCCGGUGUCGUCGAUAGAUGCUCCUGUUCCUCUGCCCCAGAGUCAUCUACUGAUGCUGUAUAUGGUAAAAUACACGGAAUAAACGGCAGAAACGUUGUUAAGGACAGCAUUAUUGAGGAUUAUCCAUGUUGCAUACUGUGUAGAUUGGCAAAAGAUCAUGUGAAUUCGUGGCUAUAAAGGAAUCCAUGCAUGCAUAGGGCGGUUGAGAUAUUGUGUUGCCUGGAGCAUGAAUACAGUACAUAGCUUUGGUGUCAUCGCCU